ACUAAGUGACGGUACCUGCAGAAGAAGCGCCGGCUAACUACGUGCCAGCAGCCGCGGUAAUACGUAGGGCGCAAGCGUUAUCCGGAAUUAUUGGGCGUAAAGAGCUCGUAGGCGGUUUGUCGCGUCUGCCGUGAAAGUCCGGGGCUCAACUCCGGAUCUGCGGUGGGUACGGGCAGACUAGAGUGAUGUAGGGGAGACUGGAAUUCCUGGUGUAGCGGUGAAAUGCGCAGAUAUCAGGAGGAACACCGAUGGCGAAGGCAGGUCUCUGGGCAUUAACUGACGCUGAGGAGCGAAAGCAUGGGGAGCGAACAGGAUUAGAUACCCUGGUAGUCCAUGCCGUAAACGUUGGGCACUAGGUGUGGGGGACAUUCCACGUUUUCCGCGCCGUAGCUAACGCAUUAAGUGCCCCGCCUGGGGAGUACGGCCGCAAGGCUAAAACUCAAAGGAAUUGACGGGGGCCCGCACAAGCGGCGGAGCAUGCGGAUUAAUUCGAUGCAACGCGAAGAACCUUACCAAGGCUUGACAUGAACCGGAAAGAUCUGGAAACAGGUCCCCCACUUGUGGUCGGUUUACAGGUGGUGCAUGGUUGUCGUCAGCUCGUGUCGUGAGAUGUUGGGUUAAGUCCCGCAACGAGCGCAACCCUCGUUCUAUGUUGCCAGCACGUGAUGGUGGGGACUCAUAGGAGACUGCCGGGGUCAACUCGGAGGAAGGUGGGGACGACGUCAAAUCAUCAUGCCCCUUAUGUCUUGGGCUUCACGCAUGCUACAAUGGCCGGUACAAAGGGUUGCGAUACUGUGAGGUGGAGCUAAUCCCAAAAAGCCGGUCUCAGUUCGGAUUGGGGUCUGCAACUCGACCCCAUGAAGUCGGAGUCGCUAGUAAUCGCAGAUCAGCAACGCUGCGGUGAAUACGUUCCCGGGCCUUGUACACACCGCCCGUCAAGUCACGAAAGUUGGUAACACCCGAAGCCCGGUGGCCUAACCCCUUGUGGGAGGGAGCUGUCCAAGUGGGACUGGCGAUGGGACUAAUCAA
rnacentral:rRNA from 1 species